rnacentral:rRNA from 1 species
GAUGAACGCUGGCGGCGUGCCUAAUACAUGCAAGUCGAGCGAACAGACGAGGAGCUUGCUCCUCUGACGUUAGCGGCGGACGGGUGGGUAACACGUGGAUAACCUACCUAUAAGACUGGGAUAACUUCGGGAAACCGGAGCUAAUACCGGAUAAUAUAUUGAACCGCAUGGUUCAAUAGUGAAAGACGGUUUUGCUGUCACUUAUAGAUGGAUCCGCGCCGCAUUAGCUAGUUGGUAAGGUAACGGCUUACCAAGGCAACGAUGCGUAGCUGACCUGAGAGGGUGAUCGGCCACACUGGAACUGAGACACGGUCCAGACUCCUACGGGAGGCAGCAGUAGGGAAUCUUCCGCAAUGGGCGAAAGCCUGACGGAGCAACGCCGCGUGAGUGAUGAAGGUCUUCGGAUCGUAAAACUCUGUUAUUAGGGAAGAACAAAUGUGUAAGUAACUAUGCACGUCUUGACGGUACCGAAUCAGAAAGCCACGGCUAACUACGU